CUUGAACGCUGGCGGCAGGACUCACACAUGCAAGUCGCGCCAGCGGCGGACGGGUGAGUAAUGUAUGGGGAUCUGCCUGAUGGAGGGGGAUAUCUACUGGAACAGGUAGCUCCUACCGCUUACCAUCCGGUGAACCCAUAUGGGAUUAGCUUGUAGGUGGGGUAACGGCUCACCUAGGCGACGAUCCCUAGCUGGUCUGAGAGGAUGAUCAGCCACACUGGGACUGAGACACGGCCCAGACUCCUACGGGAGGCAGCAGUGGGGAAUAUUGCACAAUGGGCGCAAGCCUGAUGCAGCCAUGCCGCGUGUAUGAAGAAGGCCUUCGGGUUGUAAAGUACUUUCAGUCGGGAGGCGUUACCGACAGAAGAAGCACCGGCUAACUCCGUGCCAGCCGCCGCGGUAAUAC
rnacentral:rRNA from 1 species